UAACGCGAAGAACCUUACCAGGUCUUGACAUCUUCUGCUAACCUAAGAGAUUAAGCGUUCCCUUCGGGGACGGAAUGACAGGUGGUGCAUGGUUGUCGUCAGUUCGUGUCGUGAGAUGUUGGGUUAAGUCCCGCAACGAGCGCAACCCUUAUUGUCAGUUGCCAGCAUUUAGUUGGGCACUCUGGCGAGACUGCCGGUGACAAACCGGAGGAAGGUGGGGAUGACGUCAAAUCAUCAUGCCCCUUAUGACCUGGGCUACACACGUGCUACAAUGGACGGUACAACGAGUCGCGAAACCGCGAGGUCAAGCUAAUCUCUUAAAGCCGUUCUCAGUUCGGAUUGUAGGCUGCAACUCGCCUACAUGAAGUUGGAAUCGCUAGUAAUCGUGGAUCAGC
rnacentral:rRNA from 1 species